AACGAACGCUGGCGGCGCGCCUAACACAUGCAAGUCGAGCGAUUAAAGCUCUCUUCGGAGAGUGUAUAAAGCGGCAGACGGGUGCGUAACACGUGGGUAAUGUACCUUCAGGUCUGGGACAACCUUCCGAAAGGGGGGCUAAUACCGGAUGAGACCACGCCCUCCCCGGAGGAAGUGGGAAAAGAUGGCCUCUUCUUGAAAGCUGUCGCCAGAAGAUCAGCCCGCGGUUCAUCAGCUUGUUGGUGAGGUAACGGCUCACCAAGGCUUAGACGAAUAUCUGGUCUGAGAGGAUGAUCAGACACACUGGGACUGAGACACGGCCCAGACUCCUACGGGAGGCAGCAGUGGGGAAUCUUGGACAAUGGGCGAAAGCCUGAUCCAGCGACGCCGCGGGGGUGAUGAAGUUUUUCGGAACGUAAAGCCCUGUCGGGAGGGAAGAAAUGCCAUCGGUCAAUACCCGAUGGUCUUGACGGUACCUCCAAAGGAAGCACCGGCUAACUCCGUGCCAGCAGCCGCGGUAAUACGGGGGGUGCAAGCGUUGUUCGGAUUUAUUGGGCGUAAAGCGCGCGCAGGCGGCCAAGUAUGUCGGGUGUGAAAGCCCUCGGCUCAACCGAGGAAUGGCGCUCGAAACUGCAUGGCUUGAGUGUGGAAGAGGGAAGUGGAAUUCCCGGUGUAGAGGUGAAAUUCGUAGAUAUCGGGAGGAACACCAGUGGCGAAGGCGACUUCCUGGUCCAAUACUGACGCUGAGGCGCGAAAGCGUGGGGAGCAAACAGGAUUAGAUACCCUGGUAGUCCACGCCGUAAACGACGUGCACUAGGUGCUGCGGGUGUUGACCCCUGCAGUGCCAAAGUUAACGCAUUAAGUGCACCGCCUGGGAAGUACGGCCGCAAGGCUAAAACUCAAAGGAAUUGACGG
rnacentral:rRNA from 1 species